rnacentral:rRNA from 1 species
GACAGAGGUGCCGAGCGUUAUGCGGAAUCACUGGGCUUAAAGCGUGUGUAGGCGGACUUCUAAGUACCUUGUGAAAUCCCACGGCUCAACCGUGGAACUGCUUGGUAUACUGGUCGUCUUGAGCCAUCUAGGGGCUGUCGGAACAAAUGGUGGAGCGGUGAAAUGCGUAGAUAUCAUUUGGAACGCCAAAGGUGAAAACAGACAGCUGGGGAUGUGCUGACGCUGAGACACGAAAGCCAGGGGAGCGAACGGG